rnacentral:rRNA from 1 species
AUGUUUAGUACAAACGUUUCUUUGCAGGAAAAACAGGAUAUCAGGAACUUAUUUCCAGUGCCAGAUAUGGAUAACUCCUUCACCCAUUUGGGUCAUCCUCUUAUUCUUCCGGCUAAGGAUAGAGCUAGAGCUUAUAAUUUUGUGUACGAUAAAUUUAAGUCGAAGCUCUCUACUUACAAAGCUAAUAGGCUUUCACAUGCAGCUAGAUUGACCUUGAUCAAAUCUGUGUUCUCUUCAAUUCCUGUCUACUACAUGUCCAUCAUUUUGUUUUCUAAGAAAUUUCUUGCUAGGCUCACAUCUAUCAUCAGGAAUUUUUGGUGGACAUGUAUUAAGGAAGACUCUACUAAAAGGGCUCUAUGUUUGAGAGCCUGGGCGGACAUAUGCACAGAUAAGAAGAUAGGAGGCCUAGGAAUUAGGAAUCUACAAGCCAUCAACCAAAGUUUAAUUCUUUCUGCAGCUUGGAGAAUAGCUAAGGAGCCUAACAGUAAUUUGGCUCUUAUUCUCAAGUCAAAGUACUAUGCAAAUACCUCAUUUUGGAGAGCAGAAGCCAAUAUGCCUAAGUCAGCUUUCUGA